ACCUGCCCCUCGCAGGGGGAUAACCGGGGGAAACUCCGGCUAAUACCCCGUACGCUCCGAGGGCCGCAUGGUCCACGGAGGAAAGGUAGCUUCGGCCAUCCGGCGAGGGAUGGGCCCGCGGUGCAUUAGCUAGUUGGUGAGGUAACGGCUCACCAAGGCUACGAUGCAUAGCUGGUCUGAGAGGAUGAUCAGCCACACUGGGACUGAGACACGGCCCAGACUCCUACGGGAGGCAGCAGUCGGGAAUCUUGCGCAAUGGGCGAAAGCCUGACGCAGCAACACCGUGUGAGCGACGAAGGCCUUCGGGUCGUAAAGCUCUGUUGUUGGGGACGAAGGGCGAAGGGUUAAUAGCCCCUAGCCUGACGGUACCCUUCGAGGAAGCCCCGGCUAACUACGUGCCAGCAGCCGCGGUAAUACGUAGGGGGCGAGCGUUGUCCGGAAUUAUUGGGCGUAAAGAGCGUGUAGGCGGUUCGGUAAGUCUGCCGUGAAAACCUGGGGCUCAACCCUGGGCGUGCGGUGGAUACUGCCGGGCUAGAGGAUGGUAGAGGCGAGUGGAACUCCCGGUGUAGCGGUGAAAUGCGCAGAUAUCGGGAGGAACACCAGUAGCGAAGGCGGCUCGCUGGGCCAUUCCUGACGCUGAGACGCGAAAGCUAGGGGAGCGAACAGGAUUAGAUACCCUGGUAGUCCUAGCCGUAAACGAUGAACACUAGGUGUGGGGGGAGUCGAAUCCCUCUGUGCCGCAGCUAACGCGAUAAGUGUUCCGCCUGGGGAGUACGGCCGCAAGGCUAAAACUCAAA
rnacentral:rRNA from 1 species